rnacentral:lncRNA from 10 species
UUUUCUUGACUCUUAAUUAAGCACUGGAGGUGGUGUGUCUAAUUAGAGAGAAAGACAUCUAGAGCUACCCAUGCAUCAGUGUGUACAGUUUGUGCACUGUAUGAACACACAGCAGAGGAGGCAAAUGGGGCUCAAAUUCAGCCCUAAGCCCAGAGCACCUGCUGAGUCUGCCCAGAAGGGGCACCUUUUUCUAAUUCAUCUGUCUAAAGGGAAGCUUUUUUUUCUAAUUCUCACAAGAAAUCAGAGUUGUAAGAAUUUGGGUUCCUGCAAUCAUUUUAAAAUUGAUUUUAUUUUUUGUUUUUUAGAGACAAAGGCUCGCUCUAUCGCCCAGGCUGGAGUGUGGUUGGCCCUGCAGACAGCUAUGAUUCUCUAGUUAACCUAUUUGGAUUGAAUCAAUUAAACGGUCCUUACAACCCAAUGUCCCAGUCUGGUUUAUAGCCCAUGCUAUAAGCCAGUAGUUCUUAAACUUUAGCCAGCAACAGAACCAUCUGGAGGGCUUGUUAAAACAAUUGCUGGGCUAGACCCUCAGAGUUUCUGAGUCAGUAGGUUUGGGGUGGGGCCUGAGAAUAUGCAUUUCUAACAAGUACCCUAGGGAUGCUGACGUUGCAGGUCCAGGGACCUUACUUUGAGAACCAGUGCUAGACGCUAUAGCUAUAGGCAAGGAUUUAUUUUGGAUCUUUUCCAUGUUUCCAUGUUUCCAUGUUUCCAUGAGAGUCUCACUGAGCCUGUCCAGAACAAAUAAAAAUAGGCCACUUCAGGUACCCCAAAAUGGAGUGGAAGGGUAAUGCUGGUGGGCGCUUAGCCUGGGUACCAGUGGCACAUAUGGCCCACAGUUCCCAGAAUUACUUUGAAUAUGGGACUGAGAAGGCACUCUGUGGACAGGAGUCAUUUCCAUUCAUUUGAUUCACUGAGUGUCUGCAUCUGUGUGAUGAAGGAGCCACUGUUUUCCUGGUCAGCAGCUCAGCUGUGGGUACUGAUGGUUGCAGAAGCUUACAUGAAAUUAACGGUGUAGUUCUCAGACCACUGCUGAGUGAAAAGGCUGCUUGUUUUGGCUGGGGCUAUGUCAGUGUAUGCAGGGGGAGACCCACUCUGGGGAGUGCAAGGUGUCCUAAUGAUCCACAUUCACUAAAGCCCACAGUGUUGUUUUGUGCUCAGAUAAGGAAAAGGUUUUUUGCACAAUAGACUCCUUAGUUGUUAAAUGCCUCCACUUCACUCAUCCUAAGUAAAUAAGUGCUCUCUUUUGAAGGUCUCCAGAUUCGGGGAGAUCUCCUGUUUCCUUUGAUACAUUAUUCUAGCCUUGGGCUCCUGUUGUAAUCCCAGAAUUCUUUUUUUUUUUUUAAAGAGACGAGGUCUUGUUCGGUCACCCAGGCUAGAGUGCAGUGCUGCGAUCAUAGCUCACUGCAGCCUCCAGCUCCUGGGCUCAAGUGAUCCUUUCACCUCGGUCUCCUGAAUAGCUAAGACUACGGACAUGCACCACUGCGCCCGGCAAGGGGUGGUUUCAAAUGUUGUCUGAAUCAAAGGACUGCUUUUACUUGACAGGAUGCUUCAGACAGCUUUGAUCUUGAAGUUUGGGAUAAAUUAGGAUGGGUUUGAAACCCAUCUAACAGAGAAUGAUGGAGCCAUGCGUAUCAACUAUGUAAGCAUCAAACAUCCUGAGGUUCCUACUUAGUCAAUAAUUCUGUGGUUAUUUUAGACCAAGCUUCUAUAAUUACAUCUUCAUUAUGCUUGGCAGACAGUGCUAUUUCCAACACAGGAAGCAGCGGCCUUGCCUUUGUUGUUGUCCUUCUAGGUAGCAGUUGAAGCCAAAUGGACAGAAAGCCCGAGACAACAUGAAGUUGUUCUACAAGUUAUUUUGGAGAAAUUGACUUACCAUACCACUCAUCAACCCAUGCAAAAGCCUGUCUAUGUCCAAUCAGCAGAAUGUCUCGGACCACCUAAAAAGUAAAAGAAGGAGACUGAAAUAAUAGCAUCUUUGAUGAAAACUAUCUGGAAGACAAGUUGUUAACAAUUCUGGGGAUCUUGGUGAUUACAGAGUUCUUAAUCCCUCUGUCCAUAGGUGAUGACAAUUACAGGCUGCCUAUAGGUCCUAUAGUGCUCACACACCUCCAGCCCUUCCCCAUGGUGUACACACACUUGCAGUAUAUUCAUCUCUUUGUCUUAUUUGAGAGUAGGGCUGGGUGUGUGUACAAACUAAUGACAAAUACUUGACAGUCACACAGCAGUGAUACAAAUAAAUAUCUAGGUUAAUUACCUUG